CCCUUUUUUUUUUUGCACUCAGAUUGAUUUUGAUUUCUUAAGCUUGGGCUUCAUAACCAAGCCACUAAAACACUUGAAAGCUUGAACUACUUAAUUUGGUUUCCAAUUUGAAAACUCUAGAUUGAAAAAUGUUUUGACAUGUUUCUCAAAUUUGUAGAACCUUCUACCCAUUAAUGGUUGUUAUUAGGGGUGGCUACGGUUUAGGAACCGCUGGUUACGGUUUCGGAACUGCCGGUUUAGGUUCAAUGAAAUUAUGAACCUGAACCAAACUGCUAGGGGAUUUUUUGGGAGACGGUUCCUGGAUCGUUGGUUUCGGUUCAAGCUUUGAUUUAAACGGUUUGAAGGGCGGUUCAAAAAAGAAUGGUUCAAGAUGGUUUGAAGGACGGUUUGGAAGCAGUUUAGGGGCGGUUUAACGGUGACUUAGACAAAAAAAAUUAGAAAAAAAUUUUAUUGGUUCGAAAUUUAAGUUAUAUUUGUAAAAA
rnacentral:misc_RNA from 1 species